rnacentral:rRNA from 1 species
UACAGAGGGGGGCAAGCGUUAUUCGGAAUUAUUGGGCGUAAAGGGCGCGUAGGCGGCUUUUCAAGUGACGGGUGAAAUCCCUCGGCUUAACCGAGGAACUGCCUGUCAGACUGGAAGGCUUGAGACCGGGAGAGGUGAGUGGAAUUCCCAGUGUAGCGGUGAAAUGCGUAGAUAUUGGGAGGAACACCAGUGGCGAAGGCGGCUCACUGGACCGGAACUGACGCUGAGGCGCGAAAGCGUGGGGAGCAAACAGG